rnacentral:lncRNA from 1 species
CCCAAACAACGGCAAGAAAUGAACAUUUGAAAUGCACAUUUUUGAUUUUUUGAAAUAUUUCUAACGGUGUCGAUUUGCCCAAAGUAAGAUAUGUUAUUCUUUUUAAAAAAUGGAACGUCAUAACGUUUUGAAAAAUAUUUGUCACCAUACUCGUUUUUGAGAAAAAUUGAGUAAUAUAAUACUGUUUACUCAAUCCCUCCCGUAAGCCUCACAAAUUGCGCCAAAAAUUAAGACGUUUCGGAAAAUAACGUUAUAUUUCCCCGCUAAUUUUUCAAAGGCAGUGCGACGGUGUGGCAGACAAAUGUAUUUAUACAAUUUGACUUUGUUGGGUAUUUGUCUGGAUAGCACUCGUAUCGCAUCUUCUUAUUUAUAAUGAACCAGUAUCUGGACGAGAUAACAAUUCAGAUAGUUUUACUAUUGUGUUCGUCAAAAUUGUGAAACCCGAUAGUGAAAAACUCACUGACUCCGUAUUAAUUCAUUUUGCAAUUUCGGGCUUUUUAUUCUUUAUAGGCUUCUAGCUAUAACAAAAAUCUGUAUGUUGACUCUUAGUGUUUUGAAUUAUAUGGGUUCGUUGGGUUGCUGUCGUAUUAAUGUAUACCUUUAAAAUCUUUUUCAAAACAAAAGGAUUGAUUGGGUAUAGAAAUAUUCACAUCUCUGGACUUCUCCCAUCCGACAGUAUAUCUUUGCUAAAAUUUGGUGCGGCCGUUUAGCUGCUCGGAUGUAUAAAUUUGCAGCCUCGUUUAGUCGAAAUAAAAAUGUAUAUCCGAUGCAUAGUGCAGUGAGUUUCGCGCUAUCUAUACG